UACGGAGGGUGCAAGCGUUAUCCGGAUUUACUGGGUUAAAGGGUGCGUAGGCGGGCCUUUAAGUCAGUGGUGAAAUCUCCCCGCUCAACGGGGAAACUGCCAUUGAUACUAUUGGUCUUGAAUUUAGUUAAGGUGGGCGGAAUGUGUCGUGUAGCGGUGAAAUGCUUAGAUAUGACACAGAACACCGAUUGCGAAGGCAGCUCGCUAAACUAAUAUUGACGCUGAGGCACGAAAGCGUGGGGAGCAAACAGG
rnacentral:rRNA from 1 species